UGCACUUCAUUGUUCUCUCUGCAGCUACAGCAGGGUUCAGCCAAACGCAGGGCUGUCAUUCUGCAGAUGUUCAGAGUGUUUCCCAGUGUUCUGAGGACUGAGCUGGUGUCUGUGUGUUGUCCACACUGCUCCCUUCACCGCUCCAAGUGGCCGUGCUCUGACUUCCAUGGGGACUUUCACAUGCAGAAAUCACAGCGUGAGUUUGCAGUUUUGGCUAAUAUAGUGGUUGUCCAAGUAAAUUGCAUCAUGAAAUCCAAAAAUUCCUGGAGUGGUAGAGGAAGUAGGAAUCCCUCAGCUGGAAGACAGAGAACUUGACUACCCUUCUGUCACAGUGCUUUUGACAUGUUCAGUUUAAGCCAUCCUGAAAAUGUAGCAGCAGUCAGGCUCUGUGGUUCCUCUGCCAGUUUGCUGAGGGUGUGCUCUGCCUCAGCUUCCUGGAUCCUGCUGUGUGAUCCAGAAAUCUGGCCAGCUUCCCUUCUCUUCAUGGAGCUCUGGGCACCUCAGACUCCACAUGAGCCUGUGGUGGGAGGCCUGUCCUGAAAGUUGUCCUGAAGUCAAAGAAUGUUCUCUGGGCCAUUGAACUUUCAUCAGAGCCCCCCAGGAGUCAGCUAUGCUCUGCCUUUGAUUGGAGCAUCUUCUGAAUUUUAUGCUUUAAAGAUGCCUUUAAAAUGAAAGAGGCCAGAUUUACAGGCAGUUUUGUCAUCUUGGAUCAGUGAGAUUGGUUACCUUGAAAGAAGAAAAGACAUAUUGUGGGCCCAUAUUAGGAGUUGGAAGAUUCUUCAGUAUAACAGGGAGAUAUGUCAGAGGUGACCAGCUGCUCUGCACCAAGGCCCUGCAGUGAUGUAUGGUAGUCUGUUGCUGUAAACAUCCCCGACUGGAAGCUGUACCUGCUCCAGCUUUCAGUCAGAUGUUUGCUGCACCUGGCUAUGCUUGGACAACAGCAGAAGGAGGAGCUGUCAUGAAUACAUAUGUGCAUUUAUAUUUGUCAAGCAGUGUUUCUACAGACAGGGAUGGAUUGCCUCCCUGUGAAUUAUCCUGUCUGGUAGGUGUGAUCUCCUGAAAUCUGAGCUGAAAUGGGGAUCCAGAGCUGAGCUCUUUGCUGCUUUGUGUUACAAACUACAGGAUUAGGCUUUCUUGGAAUGACCAGUGGUGGUGAACUUCUGCAGUUACCCAUGAACCCUUCAUUGCUUCAUCAAUGGUCAGUUUUAGCAGCUUCUGUUACUUAGGGCUGUGGGGAAAAAAUAUUAUCAGUGCUGCCCAAUACUUAGCAGGCCUCAAAUCUGCUGUGCCUUGCUUUUUGUUGUUUUCUCUGGAAUUCUGUAUUCCAAGUCUCCUUGUAAGAAGGUUGUUCUCCUAAUUGUUAGAUGGGCAUAACCCAAGCCCAAAAUAAAGGUUAAAAACAUAUCACCCAGUCUGUUUUGCUGGUCUCCCAAUCCACAGUGUAUGGCCUUGUCUGUGGUGUGGUUUGUGCUGCCCCCACCAUGGUUUGCUUUUCAUGGAAAUAACAGCUUUCGAAAGUAUUCCUUCUGAAGUCUUCACUGGUUCAGUUCCUGAACAACUUAAAAGUCAUGACAUCAGGAACAGUAUCUGCAGACAAGCUUCAGCUUUCCAUUUUUCCCUAGUGGGAUCUGCAUAUGCUGUUGCCUGGAUCUUGCCUGGGAUUUCUUUCCUUCUUUGUUUCACUCUAGUCUUCUAUUUUUAAAGGGAUGGCCAAUGAGAGUAACUGCUGCUAAUAGAAAAAAUAUUCUUGCAAUAAUCCAACUCUCUGUUCUAGCCCCCCCAAAAUGUUAUUUUUUUUAUUCCCUAACACUUAAUGAAAUACUUUGUUGAAUUUAAAUGUUAGUAUUCCAAACCUAGGUAUUUAUUUGUUUAGGUUCACUAUAGUGAUUCUGUAAAAGUUGAUUAUGACCAAAAAUACAGAUACUUUGUAAAAGUAAAAUAUUUUCUCCUUAACUCAUGAGAAUUAAAACUAGAAGGAUUUCUUAGUCCUGGGAAAGCUGGAUUAAUAAGCAUUGGAAAGGUGAUGGUUUUGAAGCUGUCAGUGAAUGACCAAUGGUGAACCAAGGACAGCCAUUUUUCUGUCAUCGUCCCAUUGCUGUAACCCCUUUUUCCUUACCCUGUGUCCUCCCUGGUGACACAGGAACAUGUGUGGUGAUGAAGGUUGUGAACUUAUUUGUUGAUCUAAUACAUUGCUAGCACCUCUACAAGGAUUUUUAAAGCAACUUGCACACCUAACAUAACCUUAGUUAAAAUAGCUUUUUUAAAAACAUCGGUCUUAUUUGGUUUGAUAUGUCAUGGCUGUAUAUUUAUAAAAAGGACUUUGAUGCAUAAGCUGCAGAGCUUGAUGCCUUAAAAAAAUGCUGGUAGUUAUUUUCCAAGCUUUCUUUGCUGUAAACAUUUAGCAUUUCCUAGUUCUAGACAGUAUUUGGACUUAGAAGAAAGGAAAUUAUUUUUGUUAACAAACUUCUUAGUUCAAAGUAAACGUAUUGUAAUUAAUCUAGUGUUCAUUUUGUUUAGUUCUGUUUAGCCAUUCCACAUGCCACAAAAGUGCUGGUUUUUGGGUUUUAUUUACAAGCCUAGUUCAUGUGCAGUUUGUCAGUCCUGUCUUGUGGAACUGAACUUGUGCAUACCUUCAUAUUGAACUGGUGUCUAAUUCAUGUACUCAAACACAGCUGUUUCAUAUCAGUACAUGAAAAUGAUUUGGAGUGGCUUGUAAUUGCAAUAAAUAAAUAAAUUUUAAAAUCCACGUUCUA